GAUGAACGCUGGCGGCGGGCCUAAUACAUGCAAGUCGAGCGAACAGACGGGGAUUUUGCUUGGCUUACGCGAGGGGCGGACGGGUGAGGAACACGAAUAUAACUUGCCGAGAAGGAUGAGAUAACGUCGGGAGAGCGGAUCUAAUAUCGGAUAAGAGAGUGAACGUGAUGGUUCAUUAGUGAACGAGGGUUUUGCUGUCACUAAUAGAGGUUUCCGCGCCGCAUUAGCUAGUUGGUAAGGUAACGGCUUACCAAGGCAACGAUGCGUAGCCGACCUGAGAGGGUGAUCGGCCACACUGGAACUGAGACACGGUCCAGACUCCUACGGGAGGCAGCAGUAGGGAAUCUUCCGCAAUGGGCGAAAGCCUGACGCAGCCACGCCGCGUGAGUGAUGAAGGUCUUCGGAUCGUAAAGCUCUGUUAGUAGGGAAGAACAACUGUGUAAGUAAACAUGCACGUCUUGACGGUACCUACACAGAAAGCAACGGCUAACUACGUG
rnacentral:rRNA from 1 species